rnacentral:miRNA from 1 species
UGCACCUCAAGAAACCACUUUCUUUGCUCAUCCCUAAG